rnacentral:rRNA from 1 species
ACCCGCUGAACUUAAGCAUAUCAAUAAGCGGAGGAAAAGAAACUAACAAGGAUUCCCCUAGUAACGGCGAGUGAAGCGGGAAGAGCUCAAAUUUGUAAUCUGGCGGUCUCUGGCCGUCCGAGUUGUAGUCUGGAGAAGCGUCUUCCGCGCCGGACCGUGUAUAAGUCUCUUGGAACAGGGCUUCAUAGAGGGUGAGAAUCCCGUCUUCGACACGGACUGCCGGUGCUUUGUGAUGCGCUCUCGAAGAGUCGAGUUGUUUGGGAAUGCAGCUCAAAACGGGUGGUAAAUUCCAUCUAAAGCUAAAUAUUGGCGAAAGACCGAUAGCGAACAAGUACCGUGAGGGAAAGAUGAAAAGCACUUUGGAAAGAGAGUUAAACAGUACGUGAAAUUGUUGAAAGGGAAACGAUUGAAGUCAGUCGCGUCUCCCGGGACUCAGCCCCGCUUCUGUGGGGUGCACUUCCCGGGGCGACGGGCCAGCAUCGAUUUCGACCGUCAGAGAAAGGUCGGGGGAAUGUGGCACCUUCGGGUGUGUUAUAGCCCUCGGUCGCAUGUGACGGUCGGGAUCGAGGAUCGCAGCACGCCUUCAUGGCCGGGGUUCGCCCACGUAACGUGCUUAGGAUGCUGGCGUAAUGGCUUUAAACGACCCGUCUUGAAACACGG